GAUGAACGCUGGCGGCGUGCCUAAUACAUGCAAGUCGAACGAGGUGCUUUUGUAGCAAUACGAGAGUAUCCUAGUGGCGAACGGGUGAGUAACGCGUGGAUGACCUGCCCCAAAGUGUGGGAUAACAGUCCGAAAGGAUUGCUAAUACCUCAUGUGGUUAUCGGUUUUAGAAAGCGAUAACUAAAGCAGCAAUGCGCUUUGGGAGGGAUCUGCGUCCCAUCAGCUAGUUGGUGAGGUAACGGCUCACCAAGGCGACGACGGGUAGGGGACCUGAGAGGGUGGCCCCCCANAAUGGAACUGAAACACGGUCCAUACACCUACGGGUGGCAGCAGUAGGGAAUAUUGCUCAAUGGGCAAAGCCUGAAGCAGCAACGCCGCGUGUGCGAUGAAGGCC
rnacentral:rRNA from 1 species